GCCGCCGCCGCCGCCGGGCACCCAGCCCCAGGGGGGCGGGCUGGAGGGAGGGGGCGGGCGCUGGCCGGGGGACCCCCGCAACCAUGGCGGGCGGGGAGUGGGCUGCCGAGCCGCUUCACCUGCCGCAGAGGGGGCGGCCGGCGCCGCUUCACCUGCCGGAGCGGGAGGCCACCGAGGCGAGGCCGAGGCGGCGGCGCGCUCGGCGGCGCCUCCGGGUCCUAGAACCGCAUCCUCCCGCUCGCCUCGGGCGAGGGAUUGGCCGGGUCUGGGUGAAGGGGAUCACGGCCUGGGGAUUGGAGGGGCACAUCUUCUCCGCACCGAGGAUCUCAGCGACUGCGAGCACGGCUCGGAGACCCACGGUGGUGCAGCGUUGGGGCGCCAGGGCUGCGUUCCCGUCUCGCGUCCCGGACUGAGAAGAAAUACUUUCAGAGCUCUUUCAUUCAUCCUGACAAUGGCCAGAGAAGAGCCACUGACAAGACUUUAAGCAAGAGACGGAGAGUUAACAUCUAAUCUGGAGGAAGACCCUGGAAGGAGCCAGCCCCUUCCCCCAGGCUGACCUGGUUUAAGCCUUUCUUCUGCCAAGGUCACCAGCACCCCAGAUGGGUGAGAGAUGUGAUCACUGGUUUCGUGGCCUGACCAAGGACCUCCAAGG
ensembl:lncRNA FMNL1-DT FMNL1 divergent transcript